AUCCCGUGUUUCCCUCCUCCCCCUCCCUCCUGUUGGUGGUGUCUUCAUGCAGUAUUAUUGGACAAGAGGCAGACUCUGGUUGAUGCUACUGGAACGAUAGAGGACUCUGGCUGUGUGAAAGGGCCUAGAGGACUGGAAUGUUUGCCACAGGGAGGUUCAAAGAAAUGCUGGUGUGAUUCGUGUUUGGCGUCAGUGUUUGGAUUUACCUUCAGUGCCCCUGUGAAUGCCAGUUUUCAACCUUAUACUCGUCAAUCAUGGGGCUUCGUGCUGUAAACUAACUGUGAGGAGGAGGGCACGCUGCAGGACUGGCAGUUCCCCUCAGCGGCUCAGGGCAAAUGGAAGGCAACAUUUCCACACACUUUCUGGUGGUCACAAAUUUGGUUUGGCAACAUAAUGACAGCAGGGUUUCACAACCGACUGCAUGGAGCAAUACGUGUGAUGACACAGCUCUGGAUCCAAUCCCGGCUUGCUUUUGGUUCCGAUGGCGAUCGAGCUUCUUUCAACAAGUUUCAUGUUUACAGCUAAUUUUGAAACUCUAAACACCAUUAGGGGUUAAGGUGAGUGCAGCGGUGAUGAAAUACAAGGCAGUCAAUCAUAUCCUGCCUGAUCUGUUCUCUCUGCCUAUUGAACCGCAGGCGUUUACCCCCAGGAUACC